AGGCUGUACACUUCUCAUUCAACAUAGCAAGGAUUUUUACUGUCAAUGUUGAAUUAAGAGUAGAGAUCCUUAGGAGCAGAGCACAGCACCUGAGCCCCAUUUUCCUAUAAUCUAGUUUGUUUUCAGAUCUGCAAUGCAUUAGAAUGCUUCGGUUGUUCUCCUAAUAGCAGUAUUCAUGCCUGAACUCUUACUUUAUCUCUGGCACCAAAAGCCAUCAACCAUUGGAAUCUAUUGGAAAUACUGACCCGAGGAUGAUCUCGUGAGAUGAGCUAGAUAUUUGAUGCCUCGAAAUAGACCAUCUCACUCCAUUUAAAACACAACCAAUUGCAGUACCACAACUCAUCUUUUCUGAAGCAAAAGUGAAACAAAAAAUCCUUUAAGAUUGCUACUACCACUUCAAUUGCAUCCAAGCUCCACCUGUA
rnacentral:misc_RNA from 1 species